UCAAGUACUGAGUGUCCCAUCCUAUUAAAAAAGAGGAUAAUUUAAUGUUAACUUUGGACAAAACGUUUGGCUCUUUCCUCCUUAAUGUCCCGGAUCCUCAGCGAGUGGCGGCGUGCUGCUAAAGUGAAACAACAACAAAGCGCGUUGACGUCACAGAUCACAGAGUUUAAUCUCAUACAAAGCAAUCAACAACAAAGCUGCAGAGGAACAGAGAUAUGCAUU